AGUCUAAAACGUUCGUAGCCGGUUUGGUAAAUCUUUGGGUAAAUCGGGAGGCUCAACUUUCCGACUUCCGAAGAGACUGCCAAACUUGGGACCGGGAGAGGCUAGAGGUACUUCUGGGGUAGGGGUAAAAUCCUGUAAUCCUAGAAGGACCACCGGUGGCGAAGGCGUCUAGCUAGAACGGAUCCGACGGUGAGGGACGAAGCCCUGGGUCGCAAACGGGAUUAGAUACCCCGGUAGUCCAGGGUGUAAACGCUGCCGACUUGGUGUUGGAGGCCCUUCGGGGGCAUUCAGUGCCGGAGAGAAGUUGUUAAGUCUGCUACUUGGGGAGUACGUCCGCAAGGAUGAAACUUAAAGGAAUUGGCGGGGGAGCAC
rnacentral:rRNA from 1 species